AGAAUUAAGUUUAAGAUACUAACUGAUGCAAAACAAAGAGGGGCUUUGCCCUGCCGGACUUAAAGUUGUAUUACGAAGCCGCAGCGUUCUGCUGGCUAAAAGAUUGGCUACUUCUUGAAGACACUGAUGUGUUGGAUUUGGAGGGUUUAACAAUGUUUUUGGAUGGCAUGCAUAUUUAUGGUAUGACAAAGUUAAAGCAAAUAAGGCCUUUAAGAACCAUAUUGUUAGAAAAUCACUGUUUAAUGUCUGGACAAAAUAUAAAGACUUGCUGGAAAAUAAAACACCAAGGUGGCUUUCACCUUUGGAAGCUAAGGCCCGAAAAAGACCCAAUAUGGAGGCCAAAUGGCCAAAAUAUUGGGAAAUACUAGAAAAGAUGGAGACAAUUGGAAAUUGCAGAGUUUGGAGAAAAUGAAAGACAAAGUGCGAGAUUGGUUACACUAUGCUCAGAUUAAAGAAGUUUUUAAAAAUGAUAAGAAACUAGGGUUCCAGGUGGAGAAAUCGAAAUUAGAAACAGAAUUGUUAGAACCAAAGAUUAAGAUACUUUCAAGGAUGUAUAACUUGCUGUUGGAAUGGAAUACACAAGAUGAAAUGGUUAAAUCGGCUAUGAUAAGGUGGGCACAGGAUAUUGGGCAUAAUAUUAUGUUUGAGGACUGGGAAAGGCUGUGGAGUAAUGGAUUGAAAUUUACUGCAUGUAAUGCUUUGAAAGAAAAUGUAAUGAAAAUGAUUUAUAGAUGGUAUAUGACCCCAGUCAAACUCGCAAAAAUUUACCACCUGUCUGAUAACAAGUGCUGGAAAUGUAAAGAGUGUGAAGGAACGUUCUUUCACCUCUGGUGGACCUGCCCUAAAGUGAAGGCGUUCUGGGAAAUGAUUUAUAAUGAACUGAAAAAGGUAUUUAAAUAUACUUUCACUAAGAAACCAGAGGCUUUCCUUUUGGGUAUUGUCAGCCAAGGGGUGGCAAAGAAGGACCAGACAUUUUUUAUGUAUGCAACAACAGCAGCAAGGAUACUACUCGCAAAACAUUGGAAAACUCAAGAUCUACCCACACUGGAAGAAUGGCAGAUGCAACUGAUAGACUAUAUGCAACUGGCUGAAAUGACUGGCAGAAUCCGUGACCUGGGAGAAGAGAGAAUCGAGGAGGAUUGGAAGAAAUUUAAGAACUAUCUACAAAAACAUUGUGAUUUGACUGAAUGCUGAAUAAGAUGCUAGACUAAAUAACUGAGCACCACUUAACUUAGAAGUUUUUAAGAAAAUAAGAAAAACUGUGAAAGUUUAACUCUUUAUGAGAACUUUAAGAUUAUGAAAUAUCGAAGAGAUAUAAGAACUUAAAUAAGAUGAUAAAUUGCUGACAAAAUGUUAUAAUGAUGAAGGUGGGAGCGGGAGAUGUGAGGAAGUCCAAAGAAAAUGUGAAAUUAUGUUAAGACGAAUGUUAUAUUGUUUAUUACAUUUAUUCUUAUUGUAAAAUCCAAUAAAUUGCUU
rnacentral:lncRNA from 1 species